CGAACCGGGGGAACUGAAACAUCUAAGUACCCCGAGGAAAAGAAAUCAACCGAGAUUCCCCCAGUAGCGGCGAGCGAACGGGGAGCAGCCCAGAGCCUGAAUCAGUGUGUGUGUUAGUGGAAGCGUCUGGAAAGGCGCGCGAUACAGGGUGACAGCCCCGUACACAAAAAUGCACAUGCUGUGAGCUCGAUGAGUAGGGCGGGACACGUGGUAUCCUGUCUGAAUAUGGGGGGACCAUCCUCCAAGGCUAAAUACUCCUGACUGACCGAUAGUGAACCAGUACCGUGAGGGAAAGGCGAAAAGAACCCCGGCGAGGGGAGUGAAAAAGAACCUGAAACCGUGUACGUACAAGCAGUGGGAGCACGCUUAGGCGUGUGACUGCGUACCUUUUGUAUAAUGGGUCAGCGACUUAUAUUCUGUAGCAAGGUUAACCGAAUAGGGGAGCCGAAGGGAAACCGAGUCUUAACUGGGCGUUAAGUUGCAGGGUAUAGACCCGAAACCCGGUGAUCUAGCCAUGGGCAGGUUGAAGGUUGGGUAACACUAACUGGAGGACCGAACCGACUAAUGUUGAAAAAUUAGCGGAUGACUUGUGGCUGGGGGUGAAAGGCCAAUCAAACCGGGAGAUAGCUGGUUCUCCCCGAAAGCUAUUUAGGUAGCGCCUCGUGAAUUCAUCUCCGGGGGUAGAGCACUGUUUCGGCAAGGGGGUCAUCCCGACUUACCAACCCGAUGCAAACUGCGAAUACCGGAGAAUGUUAUCACGGGAGACACACGGCGGGUGCUAACGUCCGUCGUGAAGAGGGAAACAACCCAGACCGCCAGCUAAGGUCCCAAAGUCAUGGUUAAGUGGGAAACGAUGUGGGAAGGCCCAGACAGCCAGGAUGUUGGCUUAGAAGCAGCCAUCAUUUAAAGAAAGCGUAAUAGCUCACUGGUCGAGUCGGCCUGCGCGGAAGAUGUAACGGGGCUAAACCAUG
rnacentral:rRNA from 1 species